CUUUCCUUUUUCUUCGACAAAGAGAGAGCCCAGCUCUCCUCUCUUCGUCUUCUCCGACUUCCCGAGACCCAGCUCCACCGUCUCGGUGCCUCCAGACCGGCGCAUCGUCACCAAAAGCUUCCCCAUCAUGUCCUUUUCGUAACCCCUCAACCAAUUUACACAUGCAACCAUCAUUAGAGCAAAUCAAAGGAGAGAGAGAAAUCAACAUCAUCUGCAAAUUCUGAUCGAUUCUUCGAUCUCUGGCACUACUGCCGACCACAUGAGGUAAUAUGCGAGUCUUCCUAACCUCUCUCCUCAUCUUUUAGUUCUAGUUUUUGAUCAGCUUCUAACAAAAUCCUUAUUUUCUGCAAAUCGCAAAAUUAUAUCUUCUCGUGGUCGAUUCUGACCUUAGAAGUUCUACAUGUCACUCCCCCGUGACCUCCGUCGCAACUAGCUCUGAGAACCUCCAAGCCAGCGUCGUCGUGGCAGCCUAGAGACCAAAGUGAGGUCCUAGAUGCACAAUAGAGCCCCUAACUCGAUAUUAUAAGCUAUUUUAUUGAUUUCCAAGUUGUUGUCACAAAACCUGAAGUUGAGAAUGGAGUAGAAUUUGGAUAACUCACCGAGAGCAAGGAGAGGCUGUUGUACUUGAAUUUCAACUUUUGGACUACGACUGAAGAGGGGGUGAAGUUGAUAUUGAAGUUGUGAUUUGAUGUUUGUGUUUGAUUUGUGAUCAACAGAAGGUAAUCUUUGACUCUAAUCAUCUGUCGUUGGUUCAACUCGCUAGUCAUGGAAGGGAGCUUAUGGAGGUACUUGUGCCUCUGUGAUCUCCAAGUCCCUGCUCCUCGCCACGACGACUUUCGAUUGGAAGAAGCUCUACAUUUCCUGUUUCAGUAAGUACCAAUUGAUCAUCCUAAUGUGUGGUGUUUUCGUUAGAUUCAAUGUUUGAUUGCAGAUGGGAGUCACUCUUACAUGUUCUGGCAGCCGGAGAAUCAUAUCGGUGAGUCCCUACUCGAUUUUUCGAUGUGUGAAGAGUUCACAAACAAAGUAGAGUUGUGUAGAGUAGUUUUAGUUUUCAGCUGGUUAUUGUGACUCAUUGCAUUUAGGCCUAAUGAGUGCUGAAGUAGACUAAUGGCUUCUUCUCUGUUGUGCCUAUUGUGUGUUUGAAUGAAUUAGACUGGAUGUGCAUUGGUGGUUCAGAAAAUGCUGAAUUCUUGGGAUAUGGAUUGCAUAUCUCCAACUUGUUUGAUGCCCCGUUUGUGAGCUCAAUACUUGUGAUGGUAAGAACAAAUGCCUCUAACUGCCUUAUACCUGAUAUUAGAAGCUGGUGAAUGUGCUUGAAUAAUUGCAACUCACAAUGUGCAUUCAUUGAAAUGCCCCUGUUUGUAUACAAGAGUCCAAUAGUCAUUUAGUCAUUCUUCAAUUUUGGCUUCAAAAGCUGAGGUGUGUGAUUACAGUUUCUCACUCUUCACCAAUGCACUUUCUUACGUACUGUUACAUGUAAUACAAACUGCUGAAAUGAUAACAAGAAGAAAAACUUGGUUUA